GACGAACGCUGGCGGCGUGCUUAACACAUGCAAGUCGGACGGUGAAGCGCCUUCCUUUUUGGUGGGUGUGGAUGAGUGGCGAACGGGUGAGUAACACGUGAGUAACCUGCCCCCUUCUUCUGGAUAACCGCAUGAAAGUGUGGCUAAUACGGGAUAUUCUGGGUCUGUCGCAUGAUGGGUCUGGGAAAGUUAUUGUUUCGGUGGGGGAUGGGCUCGCGGCCUAUCAGCUUGUUGGUGGGGUGAUGGCCUACCAAGGCGGUGACGGGUAGCCGGCCUGAGAGGGUGGACGGUCACACUGGGACGGAGACACGGCGCAGACUCCUACGGGAGGCAGCAGUGGGGAAUAUGGCACAAUGGGAGGAAGCCUGAUGCAGCGACGCCGCGUGAGGGAUGGAGGCCUUCGGGUUGUGAACCUCUUUCGCCAGUGAAGCAGGCCUGCCUCGUUUGUGGGUGGGUUGACGGUAGCUGGAGAAGAAGCGCCGGCUAACUACGUG
rnacentral:rRNA from 1 species